GAAAUGCGAUAAGUAGUGUGAAUUGCAGAAUUCAGUGAAUCAUCGAAUCUUUGAACGCACAUUGCGCCCCUUGGUAUUCCAUGGGGCAUGCCUGUUCGAGCGUCAUUUGUACCCUCAAGCUUUGCUUGGUGUUGGGUGUUUGUCCCCGUCUCCGCGCGUGGACUCGCCCCAAAGUGAUUGGCAGCCGGCGUACUGGUCCCGGAGCGCAGCACAUGUCGCGCAAACGAGUGCCUUGGUACGGCGGCGUCCAUAAGCCCCUCUCUCACGCUCUUGACCUCGGAUCAGGUAGGGAUACCCGCUGAACUUAAGC
rnacentral:misc_RNA from 1 species